rnacentral:rRNA from 1 species
GAUGAACGCUGGCGGCGUGCCUAAUACAUGCAAGUCGAGCGAAUGGAUUAAGAGCCUGCUCUUAUGAAGUUAGCGGCGGACGGGUGAGUAACACGUGGGUAACCUGCCCAUAAGACUGGGAUAACUCCGGGAAACCGGGGCUAAUACCGGAUAACAUUUUGAACCGCAUGGUUCGAAAUUGAAAGGCGGCUUCGGCUGUCACUUAUGGAUGGACCCGCGUCGCAUUAGCUAGUUGGUGAGGUAACGGCUCACCAAGGCAACGAUGCGUAGCCGACCUGAGAGGGUGGUCGGCCACACUGGGACUGAGACACGGCCCAGACUCCUACGGGAGGCAGCAGUAGGGAAUCUUCCGCAAUGGACGAAAGUCUGACGGAGCUACGCCGCGUGAGUGAUGAAGGCUUUCGGGUCGUAAAACUCUGUUGUUAGGGAAGAACAAGUGCUAGUUGAAUAAGCUGGCACCUUGACGGUACCUAACCAGAAAGCCACGGCUAACUACGUGCCAGCAGCCGCAGUAA